AAGUCGUAACAAGGUAACCGUAGGUGAACCUGCGGUUGGAUCAUUAACAAAUUGAUUUUAGGCCCCUGGUUGUCCCACGAAGGCGAAGGGGGAACAACCUAAAAAACAUUUGUGUGCACCAUAUCUGUCUUUGGCAGUUCGAGUGUCCUUGGAGCGUAACUGCCCAAGGUACCUACUGAGGUGUUCCCUCUUUUGGGAGUGCCAAAGUUGGGCUGCCGCCUCUAUGAACAAACCUUUUGAAUUUCAUUUUGUCUGAAAUUUGUUUAAUCAUUAUGAUUGAAUUUAAAUACAACUUUUGACAACGGAUCUCUUGGCUCUC
rnacentral:misc_RNA from 1 species